rnacentral:rRNA from 1 species
AGGACGAACGCUGGCGGCGUGCUUAACACAUGCAAGUCGAGCGGUAAGGCCCUUUCGGGGGUACACGAGCGGCGAACGGGUGAGUAACACGUGGGUGACCUGCCCUUAGCUCUGGGAUAAGCCUGGGAAACUGGGUCUAAUACCGGAUAUGACCUCGCGAUGCAUGUCGUGGGGUGGAAAGCCUUGUGCGGCUAGGGAUGGGCCCGCGGCCUAUCAGCUUGUUGGUGGGGUGAUGGCCUACCAAGGCGACGACGGGUAGCUGGUCUGAGAGGACGAUCAGCCACACUGGGACUGAGACACGGCCCAGACUCCUACGGGAGGCAGCAGUGGGGAAUCUUGCGCAAUGGGCGAAAGCCUGACGCAGCAACGCCGCGUGGGGAUGAAUGCCUUCGGGUUGUAAACCCUUUCAGUGGGAACGAAUUGACGGUACCCACAGAAGAACGCCCGGCCAACUACGUGCCAGCAGCCGC